GCAGGCUGGCCAUCCAGUAAUCAGCGCAAGUUAGAAUGUGGUCAACUCUGCAGUCGUUGCGCAGGCACUUUGGUGACUCUAGAUAACCUUGGGCCAAUCGCACGUCCCUGUGACGGCGACGAAGCAUUCGGGUGUCUGCCCUAUCAACUUUCGAUGGCACUUUCUCCGCCUACCAUGGUGACCACGGGUAACGGGGAAUCAGGGUUCGAUUCAAGAGAGGGAGCCUGAGAAACGGCUACCACAUCCAUGGAAGGCAGCAGGUGCGCAAAUUACCCACUCCUGACGCGGGGCAGUAGUGAC
rnacentral:rRNA from 1 species